rnacentral:rRNA from 1 species
UACAGAGGGUGCGAGCGUUAAUCGGAAUUACUGGGCGUAAAGCGUGCGUAGACGGCUAUCUAAGUCGGGUGUGAAAGCCCCGGGCUCAACCUGGGAAUUGCAUUCGAGACUGAAUAGCUAGGGUACGGUAGAGGGAAGUGGAAUUUCCGGUGUAGCGGUGAAAUGCGUAGAUAUCGGGAGGAACAUCAGUGGCGAAGGCGGCUCUCUGGGACGGUACUGACGCUGAGACGCGAAAGCGUGGGGAGCGAACAGG